AAAUCACUCCACUUUGGCCGCUUCACCGAUGGGCCGUGUUGAUUGGAAGUGGUUAAACUCAAAGACACUUUCUUUCGCUCGUCGUUGGUUGUUUGUAAUACAGGGGGGGGGACAAGCAUCCGAAGUUUACCGUCAAACAAUGAGGUCACCUGCUUGUCUAAAUUCAGAUCACGUGACAGCGGAAGUGGCGUGUGUUUACAAACGCAGAGCUGCCAGAGGGGGCGGAAUGAGGAGACCGCAUUUGAGGACGUCGAGCAGCAGAUGUGAACCCGUUGAACCCGAGGCCUUCCCAAGAUACUUGAAGGCGCAACCCCCGUUGGAGGAACCCCAGAGUGGUUUUAAACAGCAGCAAGAACAAUCGUUAAAUUACACUUCAAACGAAUAUUAUGAAAUAAUAAAACUAGAAUGGGCAACCUGAGGAAAAAUAUGCAUUGGUAUUCUAGAUACUCCCGAGCGAUGAAUCGAACAUCCACCUAUCUAGGCCAGUUCCUAUAGAUGCAUGCAUAAAAAAAGAUUUUUUUGGGGGGCAGGGUUGGCGCAUAGAGACAUCAUGGCCUAUUUAUGAAUAUUACAGAAGGAUUCUCUGCAUACUGAUCCCAUAUAAAGCCCAUAUGUGCACAUGUUUGUGUAUUUAUUUUCAUUCACAUGUUCAAAUCAUAUGUGGGUCGAGGCUUUGAAAAAGCACAGUCAGGACAACGACCAAUUUUUUUUGGAGGAUUUGAUUGCAGCUUUGUGGAUGUAUGUCAUCUUUUUCACAAAAUAAAGAAUUUUGUGUUGUCAUCACACAA